rnacentral:tRNA from 13 species
AAUAUAGUUCAUUGGUUAGAAUAUUAGUUUGUGAAACUAAGGAAAAAAGUUCGAUUCUUUUUCUU